rfam:Smithella sp. SCADC Smithella_SCADC_Contig_226, whole genome shotgun sequence.
CUAUUCCCGUCGGGAGGCGGGGAAAGGGGCGGUCAGAAGUCAGCAGAGGUCAUAGGAGCGUCAACGACCAGACGCGAAGGAC